GGGGAAUAUUGCACAAUGGGCGAAAGCCUGAUGCAGCAACGCCGCGUGAGUGAUGAAGGUCUUCGGAUUGUAAAGCUCUGUCUUUUGGGACGAUAAUGACGGUACCAAAGGAGGAAGCCACGGCUAACUACGUGCCAGCAGCCGCGGUAAUGCGUAGGUGGCGAGCGUUGUCCGGAUUUACUGGGCGUAAAGGGUGCGUAGGCGGAUGUUUAAGUGAGAUGUGAAAUACCCGGGCUUAACUUGGGUGCUGCAUUUCAAACUGGAUAUCUAGAGUGCAGGAGAGGAGGAUGGAAUUCCUAGUGUAGCGGUGAAAUGCGUAGAGAUUAGGAAGAACACCAGUGGCGAAGGCGAUUCUCUGGACUGUAACUGACGCUGAGGCACGAAAGCGUGGGUAGCAAACAGGAUUAGAUACCCUGGUAGUCCACGCCGUAAACGAUGAGUACUAGGUGUAGGAGGUAUCGACCCCUUCUGUGCCGCAGUAAACACAUUAAGUACUCCGCCUGGGAAGUACGAUCGCAAGAUUAAAAC
rnacentral:rRNA from 1 species